CUGGGUGAUAGCCCACGUGCAGUUGCAGG
rnacentral:sRNA from 1 species